rnacentral:rRNA from 1 species
UACGUAGGGUGCGAGCGUUAAUCGGAAUUACUGGGCGUAAAGCGUGCGCAGGCGGUUCGUUGUGUCGGCGGUGAAAGCCCCGGGCUUAACCUGGGAAUGGCCGUUGAAACUGGCGAACUGGAGUGUGGCAGAGGGGGGUGGAAUUCCGCGUGUAGCAGUGAAAUGCGUAGAGAUGCGGAGGAACACCGAUGGCGAAGGCAAUCCCCUGGGCCUGUACUGACGCUCAUGCACGAAAGCGUGGGGAGCAAACAGG